CCUCACGGUGAUGACGUCAUCACUAGCGCGCUCCCUUCAGUCAGCGUCGAGUCUUCUGAGAUCUGCUCCAGUGAAGCUCCUCCCACUGCAAUUCAGUAAUAAAUGCUGGAAUAUUCCCAUCAGCCUACAAGUGAAGACACACAUCAAACCAUCAGGAAGAGCUGAAAUCUGCAAAGACAGAGUUUAUUGAAGGACAGUGAGAAGAUGAGAGAUCCAGAACACUGCAGAAUGAAACACACUGAAGAACAAAGAGGCCUUAUUGAGGAGAAUGAGGAGAGCGAAGAGGAGGAGAAACAUCAUGUUGAAGCUGGAGAAAAAAUUUGCUCACAGACUGAAAGUGUUUCUUUACUGAAAACAAGAGACAAGAAAUGUAUCACCUGCCGUCAGUGUGGAAAGAGUUUCACACGCAAACAGAGUCUCAAGAUGCACAUGAUGAUCCACACUGGAGAGAACACGUUCACAUGUGAUCAGUGUGGAAUGAGUUUUAGACACAAACCGAGUCUCAAGGAUCACAUGAGGAUCCACACUGGAGAGAAACCGUUCACAUGUGAUCAGUGUGGGAAGAGUUUCAGACAAAAAGGAACCCUUAAGAUUCACAUGAUCAUCCACACUGGAGAGAAACUGCAUGAAUGUGAUCAAUGUGGCAAAACAUUUUCCUGGGCUUCAGGCCUGAAGAAUCACCUGAAAGUUCAUUCACAGGAGAAACCACAUUCAUGUUCUUUGUGUGGAAAGAGUUUUUCAGUGCUGCAAAAAUUAAAAGAACAUCAGGAAAGACAUACUGGUGUGAGAAAUCAUAUGUGCUUUGAGUGUGGGAAGACUUUUAUUUCAGCUGGAGAUUUGAAACAGCACCAGAGGAUUCACACUGGAGAGAAACCUUACAAGUGUUCACACUGCAACAAGAGAUUCAGUCAGUCAGGAACCCUGAAAGCACACGAGAGGAUCCACACUGGAGAGAAACCUUACAAGUGUUCACACUGCGACAAGAGAUUCACUAGGUCAUAUUUUCUGAAAGUUCAUGAGAGGAUCCACACUGGAGAGAAACCGUAUCACUGCACUGCAUGUGGGAAGAGUUUCACUGAUUCAUCUUCUCUACGCAGGCAUACAAAAAACAAUCACAGCAAGUAGUUCAUCUUCAGAUGCAGCAAUUUCAGUUCUGAUGCCGCAUCCUCACCAAACGUGACACCAUCAUGCAAAACAUUCUCUUCAAUAUGAGGAAAUAAUAUUCAGAUCCAGAAAGUCAAUCUUCUGGCGUCAAAACCCCAAGACUUUGAGAGUGAUUUUUCACAACAACUGCAGAAUGAAACACACUGAAGAACAAAGAGGCCUGAUGGAGGACAUUGAGAGUAAAGAGGAGAAACAUUGUCAUGUAAAAACUACAGAAAAAACUCGCUCACAGACUGAAAGUAUUUCUUUGCCGAAAAGAGGAGACAAGAAAUGUGUCACCUGCCGUCAGUGUGGAAAGACUGUUGCACACAAACAGAGUCUUGAGUUUCACAUGAGGAUCCACACUGGAGAGAGACCGUUCACAUGUGAUCAGUGUGGAAUGAGUUUCAGAAAAUACAUACUGGUGUAAGAGAUUAUAUGUGCUUUGAGUGUGGAAAGACUUUUGCUAGAUCUGAACAUUUGAAAUCACAUCAGAUAACCCAUAGCGGAGCGAAACCGCACAAGUGUUCACACUGCGACAAGAGAUUCAAAUGGUCAGGAUCCCUAAAACAACAUGAGAGGAUCCACACUGGAGAGAAACCUUACAUGUGUUCACACUGCGACAAGAGAUUCAGUCAGUCAGAACAUCUGAAAACACAUAAGAGGAUCCACACUGGAGAGAAACCGUAUCACUGCACUGCAUGUGGAACGAGUUUCACUCAAUCAUCUUCUCUACGCACUCAUACAAAAAAAUAUCACAGCAAGUAGAUCAUCUUCAGAACCAGCGCUUUCAGGUCUGACGCCACAUCCUCACAAAACAUGACACAACACCAUCAAGAACAUAACAUUUUUUCAAUAUAAAUCUGUCCUAUCCAGCCACAGUGAGACUCGCGCUUAGGAUUGCACAUGCGCAUUGGCCCAUCUAGCCUGAAAAAUAAGCUUUUUAAUGCUAUUUUAGCAUAAGAAAUGACAUUUAUUGAACGGUUCAUGGCAGAUUUUGUUGCUGAUUUGAAAUAUGUAAUUUAAUUGGGAAUUCGCCAAGCAGUUUUGGAGGUUUCAGGAUUCCCCCAUUAAAAUAGAUAGGACUUUGUCUUGAAUGCCAGAAAUAGCUGCCUGAAGGCGUUGCAAAUACAACUGCUGAGUGAACAGAUUUUCCUUGAAGGAAUGCAGGGUUAGUUGUAACACAUGGUUUAAAUACUUACACAUAAUGAUAGCAUGAUGAAACUUAGUGUAUUUAAUAGUUGCCAUAUCAACAAUUUAGAGAAAUAAUUGCAUAUAAAUUUAGAAAUCUUUGGGAGAUAUCACUAAACAUGUAUUUAACAAUAGCAAAAGAAAAUUUCUCAAGUUAAUUUUUAUAUAUAUCCUAAUUAUUGUUCAUAUAUAAUUCAUAUUUUCCAGGAGCUCAUUGCUUCUACCUUCAUUUA